GAUGAACGCUGGCGGCGUGCUUAACACAUGCAAGUCGAACGGACGGAUUGGAGCUUGCUCCAUGAAGUUAGUGGCGGACGGGUGAGUAACGCGUGGGUAACCUGCCCUAUGCAGGGGGAUAACGUUUGGAAACGAACGCUAAUACCGCAUAAUCUAGUUGGUUCGCAUGAACCGAUUAGCAAAGAUUUUAUCGGCAUAGGAUGGACCCGCGUUAGAUUAGCUAGUUGGUGAGAUAACAGCCCACCAAGGCGACGAUCUAUAGCCGGCCUGAGAGGAUGAUCAGUCAGACUGGAACUGAGACACGGUCCAGACUCCUACGGGAGGCAGCAGUGAGGAAUCUUCCACAAUGGGCGAAAGCCUGAUGGAGCGACGCCGCGUGCAGGAUGAAGGCCUUCGGGUUGUAAACUGCUUUUAUAAGUGGAGAAUAUGACGGUAACUUAUGAAUAAGCACCGGCUAACUACGUGCCAGCCGCCGCGGUAACAC
rnacentral:rRNA from 1 species